UGGGGAAUAUUGGACAAUGGGCGAAAGCCUGAUCCAGCAAUGCCGCGUGAGUGAUGAAGGCCUUAGGGUUGUAAAGCUCUUUUACCCGGGAUGAUAAUGACAGUACCGGGAGAAUAAGCCCCGGCUAACUCCGUGCCAGCAGCCGCGGUAAUACGGAGGGGGCUAGCGUUGUUCGGAAUUACUGGGCGUAAAGCGCACGUAGGCGGCUUUACAAGUCAGAGGUGAAAGCCCGGAGCUCAACUCCGGAACUGCCUUUGAGACUGUAUCGCUUGAACACGGGAGAGGUGAGUGGAAUUCCGAGUGUAGAGGUGAAAUUCGUAGAUAUUCGGAAGAACACCAGUGGCGAAGGCGGCUCACUGGACCGUUGUUGACGCUGAGGUGCGAAAGCGUGGGGAGCAAACAG
rnacentral:rRNA from 1 species